ACUUCUCACCCAGCCUCCAGAGAUCACACUCCAGCCAACACAAAAGGUCAGCAAAGAGUCCCCACCCUCAGAUGGGUCACCCAAACUGACCCAAGCCACAGGGCCUAUUCAUGCAUCUUGCUUCUUGUAAUCCUAGCGCUUGAUGGUUUGCACCAACUGUCCUGAAAGCCACAUUCCCAACCCUGAGCUAGCAAAGCCUGGGAGUUAGGAGUCAAGGAUGUGAGUGAGAGCUUUCUCAGAGCUCAGGAGGAAGCCCUUUUAUCUGUGUGGCUCCCCCGUGUCUUUCCCGUUAGAGAUUCAAAGGGGUCUUGAAACAUCCUCUAGUGGGCAAAAGAACAUCCGGAUGCAACAAGGCAGAAAGGAAAGUGGUUGGGGCUUUCUUAGCUCUUUACUUUUGCCAACUGUGUUGGGAUAGCAAAUCUGGGAGAUUCUAUGAUGCCCCAAGAGGAAUAUUCACACCCAGAAAACACUCCCUCCAGUAUCUACACCUUACCAACAGCUCUAGACUUUGAAACAGGUAGCCUUAUGCUUCGUUCUAGUGCUUAUGAUUUUAGCUGUGGUGCCCCAGUUGCCCAUGCCCCGUGGCAGUGGCAUACUCACAUCGGUCAGGGGCCCUGGCACACACAAGCUGAACUUACUAGGCCUGGCUUUCCUGUUUGCAACACCCGGUUGUCACAGCGCAGAGAAGCUCGGUGCAGCUCUCCUCCCACUAGGAGCUGGUCUUCACAACCGACCCCUGGAAGUUGGAAGAGAGUUGGCCAGGGCGAGGGUGCUGAGGAGUCUCCCAGGGUGCUGCAGCAGCUGCAACCCGCCAGGGUCUCUCUAGCCCACAGUGAAUACACACACCCGCCCCCAGCGCCAAAGAAGGCCCCGACCGCCACAGCCCUCAGCUUAGCUGGGCCGACAGCAGCUCUGCGCCCGGGGCUGCGCAACAAAGGGUGGCAUCGCGGCGGCGCGAGCAGGGACCACAUUGGUUCAAUAUUAGCUUUUCAUUCCAGUCUAUUGUGCCCAUCUGAGAUAAUAUUGACUCUGAGGUGAGAGCUACAGACUACGGGGCUUGUCUAACACUCCGCCCGCCACAGGGCGCUGGAAGAGAACCAGCCACCAAGAGUUAAAGUGAUUGCAAAUAAACGCUCCUCGCUCUCCCUGCCGGGGCGCUGCCGGUCGCUGUCCGCAGCGCGUUGAGCCUCGGUCUCCAUAACCAGGCUGCGUACCAUGAUCUCCCUGCCCUACACCAGCUCAGGCGAGCUGGUGUUCCCAUCGAAAACAGAAAAGAGGUUUUGCUUAACGCACCACCCAGCUUUCAACUGAUGUCCAGGUUCCAGACCUGGGUGACUCCGGAGAAAAGUAAUUCGCAGUCUUUAGUAAUUCGCAGGCUUCAUCAGAUGGUGUUUCCUUCUUUCAAAAGGGGGCCUUUCGGGUAACUUUCCGUGGAAGUAUUUUUCUACUUUCCUCUUCCUGGGAAGAGUAAAUGCAUGCAGCAUUAUACUGCUAUUAUGCAGCAAUAAACCGCUUAACUCCUGAAAGCGUCCUUAAUACAAUUUUUGUUUCCUGUGCGUUUUGUUUUGCUUUGAAUCUUUUUCAACCCGUCAUCAAUCUUGAAACUGCCUUCCCAACCAUCGCGCUGAAGGGCCUCUCCAGCGUUCAGACCUUGCAAAUGAAGAUUCAUUUCAAAGUUUAAAUUGGCUGUAAAUGCCUUCGUUGGUAAACAGCAAGUUAAACUGCUUUUCGUGUUUGAAAAAGAACUCUAGCAUUACGCUCUAGGGACCAAACGGGCUUACAGUGACCAUGUUGAGUGUGCCCUCCCGGGUCAUUUAUGAAAUGUGUGCCCUCCCCUCCCCCCAAGUUAGAUUCGGAUCCUUGUAAGAAGAACUGCACUAAGGUUUUUCCAACAAGAAUCUGAUCAGGGGAUGGGGGAGGUUGGUUUUUUUAUCCACAUUGAAGGCAGGGUGGGCUCUGGGGGCUAGGCUAGGUGACAGGUUGGGGUGCAGCAUGCACAGAGGGACGUACACCAGGGUAGCUGCCUCUCACGGCUACAAACAAAAAACUUCAACACAUCUUGUGUAUUUCAGAAGUGGUAAUUGUGUUUCACACACCGGAUCUACAACUUAUUUUGUUUGCAUUAGAUACUGUUUACUACAUAAUAUGUAUUGAUUUUCACCAAGUGUUUAAUUUAUGACAUCUUAUGUUAAUUUAUAGUCACAUUAAUUAAUAGUUAUUAUAUAAAUUAUAUGCACUAUACAUUGUUCUGGUACGUAUUUGCAUGCUUUAUGUAUUUGUGUGUGUGUGCAAAUAUAUACCAGAACAAUGGUAUAUAUUUAAUCUUUAACUCCCUAUAAUCUCCUUUUAAUCUCCCUGUAAGCGUGUAUUUGGUGUUUUUAUCUAACUUUACGAAGUCUUAAUUGAAACCUCUUUGAAACCCGCUAUAAGAUACCUUUGGAUCGAAUUAUAUUUCCAGGAAGCGGAUCUGGCAAUAAGGAACAACCAGGUCCCUCUGGUCUCCCAAAUAUUCCUUCCCUGGGGUAGCCUCCUCUACUCGAGGAGACUAUAGGAACUGGUUUGUUUCUAAGGAUGGCUAUUCCACAAAAUUAUGUCAUGAAUUAAAAAUUACUUAGAAGAGUGAAGUAUGUGCUCCGCUGAUGCAUCUGGGAGAACAGAGGAGGGGCUCACCUCAGAUUCUGGGCUCCAGGCAACAAGCCAUGGGCUCCAAGCUGUGGGAGAAUCUGUGGGGGUUCUGGGUUCCACUGCAGUCCCACAGUCCUCUAGACCCCAAUCUGGCAAUGUUGUUGCUUUCCAACUUCAGCCUGCUUUUGUAUGGAUUGAAGACUAAUACCACGGGCUGGACACCAAGUCACCCUACCCCCACCUCCCAUCUCCCACUUCAGCAGCACCCUCUUUGCAAGGGCAGGGCCUGAAAAAUAAAUAAGGAUUUAAAAGAUCAGAACCAGCAAAAGGAUUCAACUGGGUAACGGGAGGGGUAGUUAGGCCCUGCUGAUGAGACAUUGAGCGUGAGAAAGGUCCCAACAUUAUAGUAUAAACAGAC
rnacentral:lncRNA from 1 species